rnacentral:misc_RNA from 1 species
AACCAUUCUCACCUGCGGCUAGACCUGCGGAAGGAUCAUUACCGAGUUUACAAACUCCCAACCCUUUGUGAACCUUACCAUAUUGUUGCUUCGGCGGGACCGCCCCGGCGCCUUCGGGCCCGGAACCAGGCGCCCGCCGGAGGCCCCAAACUCUUAUGUCUUUAGUGGUUUUCUCCUCUGAGUGACACAUAAACAAAUAAAUAAAAACUUUUAACAAUGGAUCUCAGAUCGGAAGAGCAC